rnacentral:rRNA from 1 species
GCUAAUCCCGGAUGAGCCGAAAGGUAAAAGAUUUAUCGCCGGGAGAUGAGCUCGCGUCUGAUUAGCUAGUUGGUGAGGUAAAGGCUCACCAAGGCGACGAUCAGUAGCUGGUCUGAGAGGAUGAUCAGCCACACUGGGACUGAGACACGGCCCAGACUCCUACGGGAGGCAGCAGUGGGGAAUUUUCCGCAAUGGGCGCAAGCCUGACGGAGCAAGACCGCGUGGGGGAGGAAGGCUCUUGGGUUGUAAACCCCUUUUUUCAAGGAAGAACACAAUGACG